ensembl:lncRNA
CACACACACACACACACACACACACACACACACACACACACAUAUAUUCCUGAAAUGAACAGAACGAAUUUCAACAGUUUAUUUCCUGCCUCGAAACAAACAUCCGCUCACUUCUCCUUUCAUGAUCCAGAAACAGAAGAUGAAGACUCGAGUUGAAAUUCAGUCUGUGGAUCACCACGUAACAGUGAUGGAGAAUUUACCCAUAGAUUUCAGAAACAGCGGUCAGAUUGUUGAUCGUUGUGAGGUUCCUCCCUUGGUGUCGUUGCUCAUCAGCAGGUUUGUGAUGCCAUCUAAAAUAAAUG